rnacentral:lncRNA from 1 species
AGCGGACAAAAACAAAAAUUUCAAUUAGAUUCAUUCCUAAGCUUGCUUUGUUACAGCAAGAUGAUCAGUCCGAGAGUGCUGGAGAGAAGAGAAAGCGGUAAACACCUCUCUUAUUCGGUCACCGAGAAGUCGGACGACUCUUCAGUAACCUAGGGUGAUCCGACCCCUUCGACGCUUUUUUCGCUGUAUACAUAGUAGGGCCCCAGAACGCUAAAAGGUGGGGGAACUAGAGUUGUCAUGAUAGAAAAGAUAACUAAAUAAAUGACUAUAAGGAACCAACGACUCUCUCUUCUUAAACAACCUAUAUCCUCCACACUUAAUCAGCAUUUGAUAGAUUAUCCAACCCCGAGCAAUCUUAGUUAUUGGUGGGGGUUCGGUUCGUUAGCUGGUAUUUGUUUAGUCAUUCAGAUAGUUACUGGCGUUUUUUUAGCUAUGCAUUACACACCUCAUGUGGAUCUAGCUUUCAACAUCGUACAACACAUUAUGAGAGAUGUUGAAGGGGGCUGGUUGCUCCGUUAUAUGCAUGCUAAUGGGGCAAGUAUGUUUUUCAUUGUGGUUCACCUUCAUAUUUUUCGUGGUCUAUAUCAUGCCAGUUAUAGCAGUCCUAGGGAAUUUGUUCGGUGUCUCGGAGUUGUAAUCUUCCUAUUAAUGAUUGUGACAGCUUUUAUAGGAUAUGUACUACCUUGGGGUCAGAUGAGCUUUUGGGGAGCUACAGUAAUUACAAGCUUAGCUAGCGCCAUACCUGUAGUAGGAGAUUGGUUGCUCCGUUAUAUGCAUGCUAAUGGGGCAAGUAUGUUUUCAUUGUGGUUCACCUUCAUAUUUUCCGUGGUCUAUAUCAUGCCAGUUAUAGCAGUCCUAGGGAAUUUGUUUGGUGUCUCGGAGUUGUAAUCUUCCUAUUAAUGAUUGUGACAGCUUUUAUAGGAUAUGUACUACCUUGGGGUCAGAUGAGCUUUUGGGGAGCUACAGUAAUUACAAGCUUAGCUAGCGCCAUACCUGUAGUAGGAGAUAUUAAUGAUUGUGACAGCUUUUAUAGGAUAUGUACUACCUUGGGGUCAGAUGAGCUUUUGGGGAGCUACAGUAAUUACAAGCUUAGCUAGCGCCAUACAUGUAGUAGGAGAUAGCAUAGUAACUUGGCUUUGGGGUGGGUUCUCCGUGGACAAUGCCACCUUAAAUCGUUUUCUAGUCUUCAUGAUUUACUCCCCUCUAUUUUAGUAGGCAUCAGUCUUCUUCAUCUGGCCGCAUUGCAUCAAUAUGGAUCCAAUAAUCAAUACAUUCAAAGAUGGAUAAAAUUGCUUCUUACCCUUAUUUUUAUGUAAAGGAUCUAGUAGGUUGGGUAGCUUUUGCUAUCUUUUUUUCCAUUUGGAUUUUUUAUGCUCCUAAUGUUUUGGGGCAUCCCGACAAUUAUAUACCUGCUAAUCCGAUGUCCACCCCGCCUCAUAUUGUGCCAGAAUGGUAUUUCCUACCGAUCCAUGCCAUUCUUCGUAGUAUACCUGACAAAGCGGGAGGUGUAGCCGCAAUAGCACCAGCUUUUAUAUGUCUGUUGGCUUUACCCUUUUUCAAAAGUAUGUAUGUACGUAGUUCAAGUUUUUGCCCGAUUCACCAAGGAAUAUUUUGGUUGCUUUUGGCGGAUUGCUUACUACUAGGUUGGAUCAGAUGUCAACCUGUGGAGGCACCCUUUGUUACUAUUGGACAAAUUUCUCCAUUAGUUUUCUUCUUGUACUUUGCCAUAAAGCCCAUUCUAGGACGAGUUGGAAGAGGAAUUCCUAAUUCAUACACGGAUGAGACUGAUCACACCUGAUUAGUGAGAAAUUCUGACACCAAUCAUUUACGAGUGAGUAUUACACCAAGAAUUUACAAGCGGAUCGAGGAAUGAAGGGAGAGGAAUUAGAAUAGAAAGAAAGAGACGGAUUUCGAAUUAGAGUAAGGGCACGCUAAGACAUUCCUUUUUGUGCUUUCGAUCUGCUUACUUUGAAUAAAAAUAAAAAAAAUAAUAGAUAGGCGGAAAGGCUUUACACAAGACCACAGAGCGAGAGAGAGCCUUCGCUUACCUGCUUAACCGUACCCUCCUAUCGUACCUAUAUAGCCUUUCCUUCAGUUACAUCCAGUUUCAGUUCUACUUCC